rnacentral:rRNA from 1 species
CAUAGGAAUCUGCCCUGCAGUGGGGGAUAACCUGGAGAAAUCCAGGCUAAUACCGCAUACGUCUUACGAGAGAAAGCAGGCCUCUUCUUGAAAGCUUGUACUGCAGGAUGAGCCUAUGUCGGAUUAGCUAGUUGGUGGGGUAAAGGCUUACCAAGGCAACGAUCCGUAGCUGGUCUGAGAGGAUGAUCAGCCACACUGGGACUGAGACACGGCCCAG